GGCCUAUUUUAGGUCGUUUAUAUGGUUUUUGGCCAAUUUUAGUGUUUGUAGUGGUUUUUAAUGUUAUUUGCCUAUUUUAUGUACGUUCUUUUGUUUUUGGCCAAUUUAAGUGUUUUUGGUUUUUAAUGUCAUUCUUUGCUCUUCAUUUUCCUCCACUUCACCCAUUAGGCAUAAGUUCUCAAACUCAUCAAUGUACUCAGUGACACUCAUUUUGCCUUGCACCAAAUCUGAAAUCUUCUUAUACAAAUUCAGUCGGUGGUUUGAUGGUACAUAUCUUUUGCGCAACUUCCUCUUCAAGGACUGCCAAGAGCGGAUUUUCUCAAUCCCAUCUCGUGUUCUUCUAGUCUUCAAUCCCUCAUACCACAACGAUGCACUUUUGCCAAGUUUCAGAAUAGCAUAUUUGCAACGCUUCUCAUCAUCA
rnacentral:lncRNA from 1 species